rnacentral:rRNA from 1 species
UACGUAGGGCGCAAGCGUUGUCCGGAUUUAUUGGGCGUAAAGAGCUCGUAGGCGGUCUGUCGCGUCGGAUGUGAAAACCCGGAACUCAACUCCGGGCCUGCAUUCGAUACGGGCAGACUUGAGUACUGCAGGGGAGACUGGAAUUCCUGGUGUAGCGGUGGAAUGCGCAGAUAUCAGGAGGAACACCGGUGGUGUAGACGGCCUGCUGGACCGUAACUGACGCUGAAGCACGAAAGCGUGGGGAGCAAACAGG